rnacentral:sRNA from 1 species
GCUGGGCACAGAGGCUCAUGCCUGUAAUCCCAGUGACUUGGGAGGCUGAGACAGGAGGAUUGCAAAUUUGAGGUCAGCCUCAGCAACUUAGCAAGAACCUGUCUCAA